AAGUAGAUGGUAUGACUUUCCUUAUCGUGGAGCCAAGGGAAUAGUUGCAGGAGUGAUUGUCGGUGAGCAUGAGCUAAACCGACGCGUGUUUAUGAUUCUUUACCGCAUGUCUUCGAAUCGGGAUCCUGGUGCUAAGGCAUCCGAUAGUCUAAGUGCAAGAGAUCAUGCAGUCAUUUUGCAGGAAAAGAAGUUGCUCGACUUGCCUAAGUUGCUAGAUAUAUGUGCCAUAUAUGGUCAUGAGAAUGAAGAGCUGACUCGAUUAA